GACGAACGCUGGCGGCGUGCCUAAUACAUGCAAGUCGAGCGGACGGAUGGGAGCUUGCUCCCAGACCGUCAGCGGCGGACGGGUGAGUAACACGUGGGCAACCUGCCUGUAAGACUGGGAUAACUCCGGGAAACCGGGGCUAAUACCGGAUAACUCUUUCCCUCACAUGAGGGAAAGCUGAAAGAUGGCUUCUCGCUAUCACUUACAGAUGGGCCCGCGGCGCAUUAGCUAGUUGGUGAGGUAACGGCUCACCAAGGCGACGAUGCGUAGCCGACCUGAGAGGGUGAUCGGCCACACUGGGACUGAGACACGGCCCAGACUCCUACGGGAGGCAGCAGUAGGGAAUCUUCCGCAAUGGACGAAAGUCUGACGGAGCAACGCCGCGUGAGUGAUGAAGGUUUUCGGAUCGUAAAACUCUGUUGUCAGGGAAGAACAAGUACCGGAGUAACUGCCGGUACCUUGACGGUACCUGACCAGAAAGCCACGGCUAACUACGUG
rnacentral:rRNA from 1 species